rnacentral:rRNA from 1 species
AUUGAACGCUGGCGGCAGGCCUAACACAUGCAAGUCGAGCGGAUGAAGGGAGCUUGCUCCUGGAUUCAGCGGCGGACGGGUGAGUAAUGCCUAGGAAUCUGCCUGGUAGUGGGGGAUAACGUCCGGAAACGGGCGCUAAUACCGCAUACGUCCUGAGGGAGAAAGUGGGGGAUCUUCGGACCUCACGCUAUCAUAUGAGCCUAGGUCGGAUUAGCUAGUUGGUGGGGUAAAGGCCUACCAAGGCGACGAUCCGUAACUGGUCUGAGAGGAUGAUCAGUCACACUGGAACUGAGACACGGUCCAGACGCCUACGGGAGGCAGCAGUGGGGAAUAUUGGACAAUGGGCGAAAGCAUGAUCCAGCCAUGCCGCGUGUGUGAAGAAGGUCUUCGGAUUGUAAAGAACUUUAAGUUGGGAGGAAGGGCAGUAAGUUAAUACCUUGCUGUUUUGACGUUACCAACAGAAUAAGCACCGGCUAACUUCGUG